rnacentral:rRNA from 1 species
CUCGCAAGAGUGAACUAGCUAACUGAAAUCACUAGUGUGUCACAAGUGAUGUCGUAAGAGGAAAAUAAUGAUAUUACCUUACUAAUAGUGUCGUCAAAAGUUGGUGCCAGAAGACUCGGUAAGACCAGAGACGCAAACGUUAAUCAUCAUAACCAGGCGUAAAGGGUUUGUAGGCUGCUUUAUUUUUUAAAUAGAGCUAGAAUCAAAUAGAGGUUAUUUUAAAGAACACUUGGAGCUAGGGAUUAAAUCCAUAGAUACUAAGGAGAAUACUUAAGGCGAAAGCAUUUAACCACUACUGAUUGACGCUGAGAAACGAAAGGGAGGAGAGGAAAUAGGAUUAGAUACCCCGGUACCCCUCCCCGUCAACGAUGAAUGGUAGUUUUUAGUGAAAUAACACUAGAGGCGAUGUUAACACGUUAACCAUUCCGCCUUGUGAGUACGAUUGCAAAAUUGAAAACAAAAAAAUUAGUCGGUUUCGAAGCAAACGAAGUGAAGCAU